rnacentral:rRNA from 1 species
GCUGGCGGCGUGCUUCACACAUGCAAGUCGAACGAUGAACCACUUCGGUGGGGAUUAUUGGCGAACGGGUGAGUAACACGUGGGCAAUCUGCCCUUCACUCUGGGACAAGCCCUGGAAACGGGGUCUAAUACCGGAUACCACUACCGCAGGCAUCUGUGGUGGUUGAAAGCUCCGGCGGUGAAGGAUGAGCCCGCGGCCUAUCAGCUUGUUGGUGAGGUAAUGGCUCACCAAGGCGACGACGGGUAGCCGGCCUGAGAGGGCGACCGGCCACACUGGGAAUGAGACACGGCCCAGACUCCUACGGGAGGCAGCAGUGGGGAAUAUUGCACAAUGGGCGAAAGCCUGAUGCAGCGACGCCGCGUGAGGGAUGACGGCCUUCGGGUUGUAAACCUCUUUCAGCAGGGAAGAAGCGAAAGUGACGGUACCUGCAGAAGAAGCGCCGGCUAACUACGUGCCAGCAGCCGCGGUAAUACGUAGGGCGCAGAGACGGUGUCCGGAAUUAUUGGGCGUAAAGAGCUCGUAGGCGGCUUGUCACGUCGGGUGUGAAAGCCCGGGGCUUAACCCCGGGUCUGCAUUCGAUACGGGCUAGCUAGAGUGUGGUAGGGGAGAUCGGAAUUCCUGGUGUAGCGGUGAAAUGCGCAGAUAUCAGGAGGAACACCGGUGGCGAAGGCGGAUCUCUGGGCCAUUACUGACGCUGAGGAGCGAAAGCGUGGGGAGCGAACAGGAUUAGAUACCCUGGUAGUCCACGCCGUAAACGGUGGGAACUAGGUGUUGGCGACAUUCCACGUCGUCGGUGCCGCAGCUAACGCAUUAAGUUCCCCGCCUGGGGAGUACGGCCGCAAGGCUAAAACUCAAAGGAAUUGACGGGGGCCCGCACAAGCAGCGGAGCAUGUGGCUUAAUUCGACGCAACGCGAAGAACCUUACCAAGGCUUGACAUACGCCGGAAAGCAUCAGAGAUGGUGCCCCCCUUGUGGUCGGUGUACAGGUGGUGCAUGGCUGUCGUCAGCUCGUGUCGUGAGAUGUUGGGUUAAGUCCCGCAACGAGCGCAACCCUUGUCCUGUGUUGCCAGCAUGCCCUUCGGGGUGAUGGGGACUCACAGGAGACCGCCGGGGUCAACUCGGAGGAAGGUGGGGACGACGUCAAGUCAUCAUGCCCCUUAUGUCUUGGGCUGCACACGUGCUACAAUGGCAGGUACAAUGAGCUGCGAUACCGUGAGGUGGAGCGAAUCUCAAAAAGCCUGUCUCAGUUCGGAUUGGGGUCUGCAACUCGACCCCAUGAAGUCGGAGUUGCUAGUAAUCGCAGAUCAGCAUUGCUGCGGUGAAUACGUUCCCGGGCCUUGUACACACCGCCCGUCACGUCACGAAAGUCGGUAACACCCGAAGCCGGUGGCCCAACCCCUUGUGGGAGGGAGCUGUCGAAUGUGGACGCAUGGCG